CGAGAACUCGUUAUCGAAUAACGAACAUACAAAUUUCGAAAGUUCGUAUUCGAUAGCGAGUACCUCGAUCCGAAUACAAAAUAAAAUACAUGAAUAUCGAAAUGUAUUUGUGCUUUAGUUAGGAAUAAAAUUAUACCAAACAUGUUUUUUAUAAGUGAACUAGUAACCGGGCCACGGGUUGCUGUGGUUAAGGUUGUCACUAAUUAUUGGAAAAUAUAGUCAAUAUCAAACAUUUUUUGGCAAACUUUGUCGGAAAUCACCAGGCAGGUCUAACCGACUGGACAGACAGAUGGAAAUUGCGACUAAUAUUUCAAAUAUCCUACCUCUCAAGUUGGAUGAAACACACGUAAUAAAAUCGGUUCAGUCGUUUAGGCGUGAAUCAAGGACAAACAAUGUGACAUGGAAUUUAUAUAUAUAAAUAUAUAAGAAAAUUGCUUGUGUACUAUUAUACGGUUGAAUUGGUGAGUUUGAAUCACCAAUUGAAUUGAGAAUUUUGAUCUGACCUACAAACAAACGGCAGCCACAUCGGCAGUUUACAGUACUAAAUUCCCAAUUAUGUAUAAUAUGUUUAG